GGCAACCUACGGGACGCAGCAGUGAGGAAUAUUGGUCAAUGGCCGCAGGGCUGAACCAGCCAAGUCGCGUGAGGGAUGACGGUCCUAUGGAUUGUAAACCUCUUUUGUCAGGGAGCAAAGGGCGCCACGUGUGGCGUUUUGCGAGUACCUGAAGAAAAAGCAUCGGCUAACUCCGUGCCAGCAGCCGCGGUAAUACAGAGGAUGCGAGCGUUAUCCGGAUUUAUUGGGUUUAAAGGGUGCGCAGGCGGAAUGUCAAGUGAGCGGUAAAA
rnacentral:rRNA from 1 species